rnacentral:rRNA from 1 species
GGAUGCGAUCAUACCAGCACUAAAGCACCGGAUCCCAUCAGAACUCCGAAGUUAAGCGUGCUUGGGCGAGAGUAGUACUUGGAUGGGCGACCUCCUGGGAAGUCCUCGUGUUGCAUUUC